GAUGAACGCUGACAGAAUGCUUAACACAUGCAAGUCAACUGUGGCGGACGGGUGAGUAACGCGUAAAGAACUUGCCUCACAGAUAGGGACAACAUUUGGAAACGAAUGCUCAUACCUGAAACUGUGAGAGAGCUUUGCGUCCCAUUAGCUAGUUGGAGAGGUAACGGCUCACCAAGGAGAUGAUGGGUAGCCGGCCUGAGAGGGUGAUCGGCCACAAGGGGACAGGGACACGGCCAGUGGUGAUACGGGGAGAAGGGGUGAGGAAUAUUGGACGAUGGGCCGAAGUCUGAUGCAGCAAUUCGGUGUGGACAGUGAAGUUUUCGGAAUGAAAAGUGCUUUGAGAUGAGAAGCGGUACCAGCAGAAGAAGUGACGGCUAAAUACGUGCCAGCAGCCGCGGUAAUAC
rnacentral:rRNA from 1 species